AUGUUUUUCUUAAUUUCCCUAUUGAUUCUUGUUCUGAUGGUUGUUUUUAAUUUUUUACAGAUGGAACCUUUACGAGUUAUUAUCAGUGAUGAAAAUAUUAUUGGUGCAAGUUGGUAUCAACCAGACACUCAGUGUUUCAUGACAUGGGGAGAGAGCAUAGCAACUUUCUACAAUAUGAAGAAGGAGAAUUUUCGAUUGAAUUUUAAGCCGUUUCAAUCCAAAGUGGAUUCAACAUUGAUCUCAGCAGUCUGCUUCAAUCCACAAAUGCAAAAUCGGGCUGCCUUCGGAGCAGAAAGUGGCAAAACAGUUGUCUGGAAAAUCCCUGCAAGAGUCAAUCAGGAUGAGGAGGCUCCCUCAUAAGCCAAUAUCUUACCAUCUACUUGCACCUCUGAGAUUUUUGAAGAAACUCCGUCCAUUAAGUAUUCUUGAAUCUAGUCAUUUAUGUUCUAAGUAGUUCUGUAAAGUUGUAUACCAUUAUGCAGAAAUUAAUAAAUACCUUUUUCUUAUCAAACUUGCCAACCCACUUCAGUCCUUGUAGUACCAUCACAAGAACUGAACCAAUAAUUGCAAUUAAACGGCAUAAGUCCGCAAUCACAUAUCUUGUUAGUGGUGCCUGUAAAUCUCCGCCUCUUAUGUUAUUUUUUUGAAGGAGAACAAAUUGACAUCAUUCCUUGAAGUUUUUGCAGAAUUUUCUUACCACUCAGAAGAAAAAUCACAGCAAUUUUAAAGAAUUGCCGCUGAGUAGCUUCCCAUUCAAGAAGCAAAGUAUGACAGGAAGUCUGCGACAUCAAAAACCGAGUUAUGUGAAUUAUGUGAUUGCCAACUUACUCCGUCGAAUUUUAUUUCUGCCCAAUGACAUCAAGUUAGCUUUAUGACCUUUCACUAAUUGAAAGUACCCACAAAAGGUUUCCUAAAACGAUCAUUUAAAGAGUUUUUUUUCACAGUUAUUGCUGUGGUGGGUCUCGAAUUGAUAGGGUACCUCAACGAACAUCAUUUUGAAGGGGGGUGUUGACUGUUCUGCUCAAGGAAAUAUUGCUAUGUUGAUGAGGCUUUCAGAGAAAAUACCUAUAGACCCUCAGCUAGAAUACAUGGCAUCUUACUAUGUUCAUCCUCAUUUCUCACAAAAGACGGGAGUGUGUGCCCUGUUCUAAUUUCAAUUUUUGUAUUAAUUUAAACCCGUCUAUGGAUGCUGAUCAAAAGUCUUCAUCGCGCAAACUUCCUACAGGACACCAUUUUGGCACAAUCCGUACUUUAAGUUUCAAUAAUUACUUGAAUAAAUGAAGGCAGGGUUGCAACAAGGAAAACUCCAGCCAAUUAGUCGUAAGGAAGGUAGUUGGAGAGAGGAGAAAGGAACGCUUUGGAUGGUGAAACGAAAAAGCUUGCAGAGUCUGAGAUAAGACCACUGCUCAGCACUGUGGUAGUACAUUACUUAACACCCUGAGAUUUUCCUCUCCUUAAUUUUAGCCAGUGCUGCAAGAUAGGGAGAUCUUUUCAACUCAUAAUCGCUGCGCUGCUUUCAUUUACUCUGGUAUAAUUAUUGCAAUUUAAAAUGCGAAUUGUGCGAAAACAGUGCCCUUUAGGAAAUUGGGGCCAUAAUAGCUUUUUAUCAAUACGUAUCCACAGACAAGAUAAAAUCAAAAAAAAAUUGAACAGGGCACACAUUCCCAUUCUUAAGGAGAGCGAGGGGUCCUUUACAUUAAGGUUACCUAAUUACUAAUAUUUUGGCAGAAUAUUGUUCCUCUGCACGCGUAUAGUAAGAAUUCAAAAUGAAACGAAGCACGGUAGAAGGCCACCAACCUCCCUCACUUGCGCACUUUCUGAGCAGGGCAGCUCCUAUAAUGAGAUGAGAUGCUUGAGAAAGUAGAUGGGGGCAAAAUAAAAAGAAGUACCAAACAUUAAGCACAUAAAACACAAAAAGAGAGUAAUCCCACAUCGAACCUCUUCCGACGAACGAUUUCCUGAGUAUUAAGUAAUUGUAAGAAUGGUCCGAGUGGAAAAACUCUAUCCACAGUGCACAGCAGGAAGGCCUUGACCACGUAAAAUCAAUUUUGAAAUUAUGCAAGGAAACUAUCCAGCAGCUGUACCUCUACAAACAUGAUUGACUCUUUCCGAUGUUAAUAACUUACACCCUCAUCUUGUCUAAUGGUCCCUUCAUUGCUUUGUACUCUUUACAAUACAGCAAUCCUCUAAAUCUGAUUAAUUUAAUUAAAUCUGAUUGAAUUAAACGUCCUAAGCACCAUUAUAACGACGCCGAUUGGCAGUAAU
rnacentral:lncRNA from 1 species